GUGCCUUAAACUAAUGAGUAAGGAAAAUAACGAGCCGGAUUGACGCCCGGCUCUCCACACUCGCAAUGUGGUAGGAAUUUUUGAAGGGGUACAGGUCGUCCCAGGGGCGUCCCGCCUACUUUCGCGGGGUGCCCGGGUGUCUGCGAUCUGCCCG